rnacentral:misc_RNA from 1 species
CCGAGUUUACAACUCCCAAACCCCUGUGAACUUAUACCUAUACUGUUGCUUCGGCGGGUCAUUGCCCCGGGGAAGGACAGGGUGACCGUCAGGUCUCCCCUGCCCGCCCCCCCGGAAACAGGCGCCCGCCGGGGGAAUCAAACUCUUCUGUAUUUUUUACUUUUACUGUUAUACUGUCUGAGUACAAAACUAUAAAUGAAUCA